rnacentral:rRNA from 1 species
UACGUAGGACGCAAGCGUUAUCCGGAUUCAUUGGGUUUAAAGGGUGCGUAGGCGGCCUGUUAAGUCAGGGGUGAAAACUUGCAGCUCAACUGUAAGCUUGCCUUUGAUACUGAUAGGCUUGAAUAGACCUGAGGUAGGCGGAAUGUGACAAGUAGCGGUGAAAUGCAUAGAUAUGUCACAGAACACCGAUUGCGAAGGCAGCUUACUAAAGUCUUAUUGACGCUGAGGCACGAAAGCGUGGGGAUCAAACAGG